GUUUACCGCCACAGCAGCCUGAGAACGCCUGAUCUCGUCCAAUCUCAGAAGCUAAGCACGGUUUGGCCUGGUUCGUAAGCCUGGAAAUAGCAGAAAUACAGGGCGAUGAAGG
rnacentral:rRNA from 1 species